UACAGAGGGUGCGAGCGUUGUCCGGAAUCACUGGGCGUAAAGGGCGCGUAGGUGGCCCGACAAGUCACUGGUGAAAGCUCGACGCUCAACGUCGAGUCGGCCAGUGAUACUGUUGGGCUGGAGCACUGUAGAGGCUCAUGGAAUUCCGGGUGUAGCGGUGGAAUGCGUAGAGAUCCGGAAGAACACCGGUGGCGAAGGCGGUGAGCUGGGCAGUAGCUGACACUGAGGCGCGACAGCGUGGGGAGCAAACAGG
rnacentral:rRNA from 1 species